ACGAACGCUGGCGGCAGGCCUAACACAUGCAAGUCGAACGCGUGUAGCAAUACACGAGUGGCGGACGGGUGAGUAACACGUGGGAAUCUACCUAGCAGUACGGAAUAACCGCGGGAAACUGCGGCUAAUACCGUAUACGCCCUCCGGGGGAAAGAUUUAUCGCUGUUAGAUGAGCCCGCGUCCGAUUAGCUAGUUGGCGGGGUAAUGGCCCACCAAGGCGACGAUCGGUAGCUGGUCUGAGAGGAUGAUCAGCCACACUGGGACUGAGACACGGCCCAGACUCCUACGGGAGGCAGCAGUGGGGGAUAUUGGACAAUGGGGGAAACCCUGAUCCAGCCAUGCCGCGUGGGUGAAGAAGGCCCUAGGGUUGUAAAGCCCUUUUGGCGGGGACGAUAAUGACGGUACCCGCAGAAGAAGCACCGGCUAACUUCGU
rnacentral:rRNA from 1 species